UACGGGGGGGGCAAGCGUUGUUCGGAAUUACUGGGCGUAAAGGGCUCGUAGGUGGCCAACUAAGUCAGACGUGAAAUCCCUCGGCUUAACCGGGGAACUGCGUCUGAUACUGGAUGGCUUGAGUUCGGGAGAGGGAUGCGGAAUUCCAGGUGUAGCGGUGAAAUGCGUAGAUAUCGGGAGGAACACCAGUGGCGAAGGCGACUACCUGGCCUGUUCUUGACGCUGAGGCGCGAAAGCUAGGGGAGCAAACGGG
rnacentral:rRNA from 1 species